GGAUGCAAUCGCCUUGAUGUCAACUCAGACAAUAUUGAAGUCAUCAACACAAUGAAGAAUGGAGGACAAUCAGCGGGAGCGGCGGCGACGGUCUUUGAUGAUUGCUAUUUUUUGGCUUGUGAUGUUCCUCUUACUAGGUUUGAACAUUGUAAUAGGGUGGCAAAUAAGGUGGCUCAUGAACUAGAUAGAUUAGCGAAAAUUUCCAUGACAAAUGACUAUUUUGAGGAGCCCAUGGAUGAAAUUGUACCUCUUCUUAUGGACGAUAUAACUGCUAUUUGCAAUUAA
rnacentral:rRNA from 1 species